AGAGUUUGAUCCUGGCUCAGAUUGAACGCUGGCGGCAGGCCUAACACAUGCAAGUCGAACGGUAGCACAGAGGAGCUUGCUCCUUGGGUGACGAGUGGCGGACGGGUGAGUAAUGUCUGGGAAACUGCCCGAUGGAGGGGGAUAACUACUGGAAACGGUAGCUAAUACCGCAUAAUGUCGCAAGACCAAAGAGGGGGACCUUCGGGCCUCUUGCCAUCGGAUGUGCCCAGAUGGGAUUAGCUAGUAGGUGGGGUAACGGCUCACCUAGGCGACGAUCCCUAGCUGGUCUGAGAGGAUGACCAGCCACACUGGAACUGAGACACGGUCCAGACUCCUACGGGAGGCAGCAGUGGGGAAUAUUGCACAAUGGGCGCAAGCCUGAUGCAGCCAUGCCGCGUGUAUGAAGAAGGCCUUCGGGUUGUAAAGUACUUUCAGCGGGGAGGAAGGCGAUACGGUUAAUAACCGUGUCGAUUGACGUUACCCGCAGAAGAAGCACCGGCUAACUCCGUGCCAGCAGCCGCGGUAAUACGGAGGGUGCAAGCGUUAAUCGGAAUUACUGGGCGUAAAGCGCACGCAGGCGGUCUGUCAAGUCGGAUGUGAAAUCCCCGGGCUCAACCUGGGAACUGCAUCCGAAACUGGCAGGCUAGAGUCUUGUAGAGGGGGGUAGAAUUCCAGGUGUAGCGGUGAAAUGCGUAGAGAUCUGGAGGAAUACCGGUGGCGAAGGCGGCCCCCUGGACAAAGACUGACGCUCAG
rnacentral:rRNA from 1 species